AACGUAGGAGACAAACGUUAUCCGGAGUUACUGGGCGUAAAGGGCGUGUAGGCGGUUUGUUAAGUCUGGCGUGAAAGCUCUCGGCUAAACCGGGAGAGGUCGUUGGAUACUGGCAAACUAGAGGACGGUAGAGGCGUGUGGAAUUCCGGGUGUAGUGGUGAAAUGCGUAGAUAUCGUUUGGAACGCCAACGGUGAAAACAGACAGCUGGGAGUGUGCUGACGCUGAGACACGAAAGCCAGGGGAGCGAACGGG
rnacentral:rRNA from 1 species